rnacentral:rRNA from 1 species
CAGCCGUAAACUAUGCGCGUUAGGUGUACUGGUGACCACGAGUCACCGGGGUGCCGAAGGGAAACCGUGAAACGUGCCGCCUGGGAAGUACGGUCGCAAGGCUGAAACUUAAAGGAAUUGGCGGGGGGAGCACCACAACGGGUGGAGCCUGCGGUUUAAUUGGACUCAACGCCGGAAGUCUCACCGGAUAGGACGGACAUAUGAUAGUCGGGCUGAAGACUCUACUUGAUGAUCUGAGAGGAGGUGCAUGGCGUCAGUGACU